GAUGAACGCUGGCGGCGUGCCUAAUACAUGCAAGUCGAGCGAACAGACGAGGAUCUUGCUCCUCUGACGUUAGCGGCGGACGGGUGAGUAACACGUGUAUAACCUACCUAUAAUACUGGGAUAACUUCGGGAAACCGGCGCUAAUACCGGAUAAUAUAUUGAACCGCAUUGUUCAAUAGUGAAAUACGGUUUUUCUGUCACUUAUCGAUGGAUCCGCGCCUCAUUAGCUAGUUGGUAAGGUAACGGCUUUCCAAGGCAACGAUGCGUAGCCGACGUGAGAGGGUGAUCGGCCACACUGGAACGGGGACAGGGUCCAGACUACUACGGGAGGCAGCAGUAGGGAAUCGUACGCAAUGGGCGAGAGCAUGACGGAGCAACGCCGCGUGAGAGGUGAAGGUGUUCGGAUCGUAAAACUCUGUUAUUAGGGAAGAACAAAUGUGUAAGUAACUAUGCACGGCUUGACGGUAACUAAUCAGAAAGCCACGGCUAACUACGUG
rnacentral:rRNA from 1 species